rnacentral:SRP_RNA from 1 species
CCGUGCUAGGUGGGGAGGUAGCGGUGCCCUGUACUCGCAAACCGCUAUAGCGAGACUGAAUCCCUUCUUGAGGUUCCAUAACUUCAGGGUCUGACCUAAGUAAGUGGUGUUGACGCCUGGGUUCUACGCAACGGAAAGCCGUAAACCCUGUCAGGUCCGGAAGGAAGCAGCAGUAAGCGGUCCCUUCCGUGUGCCGUAGAGUUGCCUGGGCCGAGCAAACUGCUUAGGUAACGCUUGAGGCUAUGGAAUCAAGGGAAGGUGCACGG